rnacentral:rRNA from 1 species
CGAUUGAUCCGCAGAUACCUGAAUGGGGCAACCCACUAUGUUGAAGACAUAGUACACCGAUAGGUGGGCAAACCCGCUGAACUGAAACAUCUAAGUAGGCGGAGGAGAAGAAAACAAAAGUGAUUCCGUAAGUAGUGGCGAGCGAACGCGGAUUAGCCCAAACCAAUGUUGUUACGGCAAUGUUGGGGUUGUAGGACCACGAUAUUUUAUGUACAAGGAACCGGAAGUUACUGGAAAGUGACGCCAUAGAGGGUGAUAGCCCCGUAUGGGUAACAAGUAUAAUAGAUAGUGGUAUCCUGAGUAGGGCGGGGCACGUGAAACCCUGUCUGAAUUUGGCGGGACCAUCCGCUAAGGCUAAAUACUCCUGAGAGACCGAUAGUGAACCAGUACCGUGAGGGAAAGGUGAAAAGAACCGUGAAUAACGGAGUGAAAUAGAUCCUGAAACCAUACGCUUACAAGCGGUCGGAGCCCUUUCGUGGGGUGACGGC